UAUCUUGAUCAAUGUCACCCUUUUCCAUUGUUUUCUUCCAUCCUUACUUGCUUGCAAUUUUGGGAACUAGUGUCCUUUCAUACUUGGUUCUUAGGAUUUGAGGGGGGAGGGGACUGACAUGAGACAUGAGACUCAGCGACAAAUGGGAAGCGACUCCAUGGGUGUAAACACUGGUCUCAGAGAUGCAUUUCUAAAUGCCGUUCUUCCUAAAUAGCAUUUGAUUUGGCAUUCGGCACAGGCUUUGAGAUGUUAUAUGUGUCAAAUAUUUGGAGCUUUGUAAUUACCUUUAAGACCUGUCUUUCAUAGGAGUUCAGAUCGAAUAUUGCUGGAGAAAGAUGCUAGGUGGGAUUGCAGCCUUUGUGCUUGGUGUAAUCUUCUUCCUGGCGGGACUCAUCAUCCACCUCAGGGCUUGGAAAGGAUCUGCAGAGGCUCAGGCUGGCCAUGAGGUCUCAAGAGCUCUUCUCCCUUCACAGCCCUACUGAGGCCCUAAUGGAAGCUUUGACCUCGGAGUCUGACAGAGUGCCCACAGGCCCAGAGCCCCAGGUUAGGAAAAGGAUAUUGAAGAAGUCACUGUUCUGGAGAAGGCUUUUCCUUAGUCCUUGGAGUUGUGAACUGAUCUAGGGUUGUGUGUCCCAAGACCAUGCAGCCCCCACCCUCCUACCUGUGAACUUUCUAAGACCCCAUUUCAAGAUCCUGGCUGGAAAUUUCCCUGAGACCUAACUCCUCCCAGCCCCCCUCGCUCUACCACAAGGUCUCCAAAACCCCACUUGCAGCUUCCAGACUUCAGAAGACAAAUGAUGAAGCAGAGACUACUUCAUGUUUUUGGUCUUUUUCAUAAAGUAAAUCAAUAUACCCUUUUAUUGUGAAAUAAAAUGGCUAUUUAUAGCCACUAAACAAUAGAAUAAAAGAACUCGUUUCUGUUA